GUGUAGACUAUGACAGACAGCCUCUCCCUGAGGGUGUAGACUAUGACAGACAGCCUCUCCCUGAGGGUGUAGACUAUGACAGACAGCCUCUCCUGGGGGUGUAGACUAUGACAGACAACCUCUCCCUGAGGGUGUAGACUAUGACAGACAGCCUCUCCUGGGGGUGUAGACUAUGACAGACAGCCUCUCCUGGGGGUGUAGACUAUGACAGACAACCUCUCCCUGGGGGUGUAGACUAUGACAGACAGCCUCUCCCUGAGGGUGUAGACUAUGACAGACAGCCUCUCCUGGGGGUGUAGACUAUGACAGACAGCCUCUCCUUGGGGGUGUAGACUAUGACAGACAGCCUCUCCCUGAGGGUGUAGACUAUGACAGACAGCCUCUCCCUGGGGGUGUAGACUAUGACAGACAGCCUCUCCUGGACAAUUUGGCCUGCUACAAUUUUAUUUAUCAUCUAUAAAAAAAAAUGAAAUUAAUAUGUAAAAAAAAAUAAACAAAUGUUGUUUCCAUCAAAUUGACUUGUAGCAGAUAAAAGUCUGUGAGUAAAUAUGUAGUGCUCAUAACAAUACCGUUGGAGGUUCAAUGUGUUUCCAUGGCAUUUUCAACUCUUUAUGAUAGUUCUGUCACAACGUUACGUAGGUAUAGCAAAUGUCCCCACUCUGGUAUUGCCACGUGCACUCUAGCCAACAGCUGACAGAUACAGGUCUGGUAUUGUCACGUGCACUAACCAACAGCUGACAGAUACAGGUCAGGUAUUGCCACGUGCACUAGCCAACAGCUGACAGAUACAGGUCUGGUAUUGCCACGUGCACUAACCAACAGCUGACAGAUACAGGUCUGGUAUUGCCACGUGCACUAACCAACAGCUGACAGAUACAGGUCUGGUAUUGUCACGUGCACUCUAGCCAACAGCUGACAGAUACAGGUCUGGUAUUGUCACGUGCACUCUAGCCAACAGCUGACAGAUACAGGUCUGGUAUUGCCACGUGCACUCUAGCCAACAGCUGACAGAUACAGGUCUGGUAUUGUCACGUGCACUCUAGCCAACAGCUGACAGAUACAGGUCUGGUAUUGUCACGUGCACUCUAGCCAACAGCUGACAGAUACAGGUCUGGUAUUGCCACGUGCACUCUAGCCAACAGCUGACAGAUACAGGUCUGGUAUUGUCACGUGCACUCUAGCCAACAGCUGACAGAUACAGGUCUGGUAUUGCCACGUGCACUCUAACCAACAGCUGACAGAUACAGGUCUGGUAUUGCCACGUGCACUCUAGCCAACAGCUGACAGAUACAGGUCUGGUAUUGCCACGUGCACUCUAGCCAACAGCUGACAGAUACAGGUCUGGUAUUGCCACGUGCACUCUAGCCAACAGCUGACAGAUACAGGUCAGGUAUUGUCACGUGCACUCUAGCCAACAGCUGACAGAUACAGGUCAGGUAUUGUCACGUGCACUAACCAACAGCUGACAGAUACAGGUCUGGUAUUGUCACGUGCACUAACCAACAGCUGACAGAUACAGGUCUGGUAUUGUCACGUGCACUAACCAACAGCUGACAGAUACAGGUCUGGUAUUGUCAUGUGCACUCUAGCCAACAGCUGACAGAUACAGGUCUGGUAUUGUCAUGUGCACUCUAGCCAACAGCUGACAGAUACAGGUCUGGUAUUGUCACGUGCACUAACCAACAGCUGACAGAUACAGGUCUGGUAUUGUCACGUGCACUAACCAACAGCUGACAGAUACAGGUCUGGUAUUGUCAUGUGCACUCUAGCCAACAGCUGACAGAUACAGGUCAGGUAUUGUCACGUGCACUAACCAACAGCUGACAGAUACAGGUCUGGUAUUGUCACGUGCACUCUAGCCAACAGCUGACAGAUACAGGUCUGGUAUUGCCACGUGCACUCUAACCAACAGCUGACAGAUACAGGUCUGGUAUUGUCACGUGCACUCUAGCCAACAGCUGACAGAUACAGGUCUGGUAUUGCCACGUGCACUCUAGCCAACAGCUGACAGAUACAGGUCUGGUAUUGUCACGUGCACUAACCAACAGCUGACAGAUACAGGUCUGGUAUUGUCACGUGCACUAACCAACAGCUGACAGAUACAGGUCUGGUAUUGCCACGUGCACUCUAGCCAACAGCUGACAGAUACAGGUCUGGUAUUGCCACGUGCACUCUAGCCAGCAGCUGACAGAUACAGGUCUGGUAUUGCCACGUGCACUCUAGCCAACAGCUGACAGACACAGGUCUGGUAUUGCCACGUGCACUCUAGCCAACAGCUGACAGAUACAGGUCUGGUAUUGCCUACUACACUAACAAGAAUAACAUGGACAAAAGUGCGAGAUAAUUUUUAUUUGUCAAAGGGCAGCCAAGUAUCAAUCAUCAUGUCACCCAAAUAAGAGCCUCUAUACUUAUUGUAAAGGAGCAUCAAGAUCAUCACCGGGCUCUUUCACCACCCUGUGAAGUUCAUCAUCACUUAUUUAAUCUGUAGACUAAUAAACGGCAUGCUUUUC